rnacentral:tRNA from 1 species
GCGGCCGUGGCGGAAUUGGUAGACGCGCAGCGUUGAGGGCGCUGUAGGGGAAACCCUGUACAGGUUCAAGUCCUGUCGGCCGCACCA